rnacentral:rRNA from 1 species
GUCCGCUAACGAGCGCAACCCUCGCUGUGUGUUAUAUGUGUCACACGGGACUGCCGGUCUUAAGCCGGAGGAAGGUGGGAUGAUGUCAAGUCAGCAUGGCCUUUAUAUCCUGGGCUACACACACGCUACAAUGGCCAACACAAUAGGUUGCUAAGCCGCGAGGUGGCGCCAAUCCAUAAAGUUGGUCUCAGUUCAGAUUGUAGGCUGCAACCCGCCUGCAUGAAGAUGGAGUUGCUAGUAACCGCAGGUCAGCAUACUGCGGUGAAUACGUUCCCGGGCCUU